GAAGAGGAAGAAGAGGAUGGACAAAGAGAGGCUGCCAAGCCCACAGUGCGUCCACCUACCCAGAAAGCAAAGUCUCCAGCUCCUCAGGCCCCGGGAGGCUCCUCAGCUCCAAAACUGGGAUCUAAAGCCCAGCAGCAAGUGGAUUUACUGUUGCUAAGGCGACAGGCUUUUUU